rnacentral:rRNA from 1 species
GACAGAGGGUGCAAACGUUGUUCGGAAUUACUGGGCGUAAAGCGCGUGUAGGCGGCUUUGCAAGUCGGAUGUGAAAGCCCUCGGCUCAACCGGGGGAAGUGCACCCGAAACUGCAAAGCUAGAGUCUCGGAGAGGAUCGUGGAAUUCUCGGUGUAGGGGUGAAAUUCGUAGAUAUCGAGAGGAACACCUGUGGCGAAGGCGGGUCGUCUGGACAGUUCCUGACGCUGAGGCACGAAAGCCAGGGGAGCAAACGGG